CUCUUCUCUCCUCUACCCUCUUCUCUCCUCUACCCUCUUCUCUCCUCUACCCUCCUCUUCUCUCCUCUACCCUCCUCUUCUCUCCUCUCCUCUCCUCCCAUCUCCUCUUCUCUCCUCUUCUCUCCUCUACCCUCCUCUUCUCUCCUCUACCCUCCUCUCCUCUCACCUCCUCUCUCUCCCCCCUUUUGUUCAGUUGUCUUGUAUGUCAGUUAUAUGUGUACUUGAAAAGACAGGGCCGACUGAUUAGCACUAAUGUUGAGGGACCUGGGGUUGCAUAUCAACCUCACGAUGGUGACGCUACAGUCUACAUGCUGAUAACAUACGCUAUAACAAUACUUGUAUAAGUUUAGAGAUUCGGUUCUGUGACGUUGCAUCAUGUGGUCAAAACAACCUUUUCUUUCUGGGUGCGGAGAUGAGAGAUGGCGGAGCAUCUUUCUCUAUUCUAACAACCGGUCUGUUCUUUGUUAUUUUCUAUUCCUCAUGAGGCAUUUGUUGAAUUAGGUACCAUUUCGGAUGCAACCAAUGAGAGAGCUGUCUCUCUCUCUCUCUGCAGUGUGGUUGGUAGGUAGAUUUGGGCUCUAUGGUUUAGAAUAGAGCUCCUCUCUCUGCAGUGUGGUUGGUAGGUAGAUUUGGGCUCUGGUUUAGAAUAGAGCUCCUCUCUCUGCAGUGUGGUUGGUAGGUAGAUUUGGGCUCUGGUUUAGAACAGAGCUCCUCUCUCUCUGCAGUGUGGUUGGUAGGUAGAUUUGGGCUCUAUGGUUUAGAAUAGAGCUCCUCUCUCUCUGCAGUGUGGUUGGUAGGUAGAUUUGGGCUCUAUGGUUUAGAAUAGAGCUCCUCUCUCUCUGCAGUGUGGUUGGUAGGUAGAUUUGGGCUCUAUGGUUUAGAAUAGAGCUCCUCUCUCUCUGCAGUGUGGUUGGUAGGUAGAUUUGGGCUCUAUGGGUUGACGGUUAGAACAAAUAACCGUACAGAAUAAGACAUGUUUGUUUUUAAAUAGCUGGUAUCUAUUCAUGUUAAUUAGACAUUUCAAUCUUAAUACUAGACUUUCUUCUAGAUGUAUUUGUGUUCAGUAAUAGUCAUAUGUUUCACUUACUGCUGGUACAGUUGUACUCCAUGUUAUUAUUUAGGUAUCUUCUCUCUGGGAGCAGCCAGCUAGCGACACAGAGGGGACAGCCUUCUAUACUGCUCUAUCUGAUCAGUUGGGAGUAUAAUCUGCAACGUUAACAUGACGUCUCUAUAACGUUAACAUGACGUCUCUAUAACGUUAACAUGACGUCUCUACAACGUUAACGUAACAUCGCUAUAACGUUAACGUGACGUUUCUACAACGUUAACGUGACGUUUCUACAAUGUUAACGUGACGUCGCUAUAACGUUAACGUGACGUUUCUACAACGUUAACGUGACGUCGCUAUAACGUUAUUAAUAAUCCCUGGUACAGCGGGGGGUUUUUUGUGUUCAUGACUGAAUAAGAGAAAGGAAUGAAACAACCAGCCAGAGAGAUGGACCCAAACUCAACCACACGCUGAUCAUGAUUCUGUUGAGAAGGUUUCUUUUAUUUAGUAUUUUCGAUGUUGUUUCUUCUCUAGCGGUAGGUAGCUGUAGUUAGCGGUAGGUAGCUGUAGUUAGCGGUAGGUAGCUGUAGUUAGCGGUAGGUAGCUGUAGUUAGCGGUAGGUAGCUGUAGUUAGCGGUAGGUAGCUGUAGUUAGCGGUAGGUAGCUGUAGUUAGCGGUAGGUAGCUGUAGGUAGCGGUAGGUAGCUGUAGUUAGCGGUAGGUAGCUGUAGUUAGCGGUAGGUAGCUGUAGUUAGCGGUAGGUAGCUGUAGUUAGCGGUAGGUAGCUGUAGAUAGGCUGCGGCGGGUUGUGAAACUGACUUGUUUUAAUAACUCCUUUACUUCCUGUACCAAGGCAGCAGACAUUCCUUCCUGUAGGAAACCUAGUACAGGUGUUUCAUUCUUCUCAGUAUAGCUACUAACUUAUUAACGGAAAGGUGGUGAUUAGGGUUGUGAAAUUCCAGAAAAUGUUUCCAAAAUUCCCAGAUUUCCCGGAAUUUCCGGUUGGAAGAUUCUGGAAAAUCCAGGGAUCCUCCAACCAACUAGAAUUUCUGGGGGUGCUAGAACAUGAUAAAUCUCUGAGGGUUUAUGAGGCACUGUCCAUCUUAACGCUUUAAAACCCUUCAUACAUGUCCUUACAUUCCAUCAUCCCAACUCGUAUCCUUUGGACAUUUAGCAUAUUUACAUUUGACUAAAGCUAUACUUCCUAAAUGCUACCCUAUGUCCUAGGCAGUGCCCUACGUUUGACCUUCAUCUCCUCAGAGGAAGACGAGCAAGAGGAAGACGUUUGACAAUAUUCUCUUUUGGUGCUUUUCUCAAACGUGUCUGUCCAAAAGUAGUGCACUAUGUAGGGAAUAGGGAACCAUUUGGGAUGGAGCUGAAAACAUAUUCUCUGAGAGCCGGGAUCCAGCUGCCAGUCAGCUGUUGUUGUUGUUGUUAUUAUUAUUGACUUUUAAUGUUUAAUGAGUUUAGAUGUAAAGAAACUCUUCUAAUCUAUAGUAGUUCAUAACAGAUGAAUCGGUCUGUACUUUCUGUAAAUGUUACGAGAAAACAUUUUAUUUAGGCCAUUGUGGUGAAAUGAACUGUCAUUUUUAAUGCAUGAACACAGAGGGAAGGGGACACUAGUGUCCUGAAGUCAUUUAUCCUAAAACACAUUUCAUUACCGUCACUAGGUAGUAGUAGGGUUGCUAAUUUCUAAUACCUUUUCCUAAAAUUCCCAGGUUUUCAAAAAAUAAAAAUCCCGGUUGGAAGGAUUCACAGGAUCAGGAGGUGAAUCCUCCAAACAGAAUCUGGGCGUUUUUUGGGGAAGUUAACGUAAUUUGGGAGUCUCUCACUUGUUCUGCUUCGGGCGGUAAAUCACUUCAUGACAAAGUCUUUUUUUAUAUAGGUAACUAUAAGACCAUCAUUACGCUGUGCGUAACGAAAUGUACAGAGAAGAUAAAAAAUCAUAGGUAUUUUUGGAGGAUCAAUGAAUUUGUUAAUGACAUGUAGCUAUUUAAUUUCCCUUCUUUCUUUCUUUUUUUUGUCCAAUCAUGCAUUUUAUAACUUUUUGGUUUUUGGUGUAAAAAAAAAAAAAAAAAUUUUUUUUUUUUAGAUGUUUAUUUUUUUUAUUUUUAAAAGGUUAAAGUGCAGGAACACAGAAAUUAUAUGAAAACACUGCAUUGAUGAUAGCCACUUGUGUAUUUUGAUGAUAGCCACUUGUGUAUUUUGGCAGUUAUAAUGUUGCAUAAAGGCUACUCAGCAGACAGACAUAACGGUUAUGUCCCAACAUAUAUAAGGAAUUGUGUCAUUUGUAACCAAUCCUCUUUAUUUCAACCAUGUGCCUCUUGAGACAAUUGAACAAAAAAUAUAUCGUUGUCAUCCAUCUUGUUUGACUUCUUUUUGUGAUCCAGUAAUAACAGGUGUAUAGCCAGAUGGUCAUCCAACCAGUUUGGGAUAAAGAUGCUACUGUAUUAGCUAUGUUAUUUAAUGGAAGAUCCCAGGAAGACUGGCUGUGUGCUUCCACAUCAAUGAUAUGCAUCCAAAAUGGCACUGUUUCCCUGUAUAUUGUACUAGUCAACAGCAGAUACAUAGGGAAUUAGGUACCAUUUCGGGUGCAACCAAUGAGACACUAAAUAUUCACGUUCCUUCACUUGGAAGCUGCACCAACAUUGUCCAUGCUGUUAGUAAAUCUGUUCAACCUUAAUUUUGUGGCCUUGUUCCUCCAACUAAAAAGGUUUUGGCAGGCCACCUUUUUUUGUACUUAAGUAGUAUUGAUGAACAAUAAACUGCUCUUAAACCUCAA
ensembl:lncRNA